rnacentral:rRNA from 1 species
UAAGGAAUAUUGGUCAAUGGACGCAAGUCUGAACCAGCCAUGCCGCGUGCAGGAAGACGGCCCUACGGGUUGUAAACUGCUUUUGUACCGGAAUAAACCUUUUCACGUGUGAGAAGCUGAAUGUACGGUAAGAAUAAGGAUCGGCUAACUCCGUGCCAGCAGCCGCGGUAAUACGGAGGAUCCAAGCGUUAUCCGGAUUUAUUGGGUUUAAAGGGUGCGUAGGUGGCCUAUUAAGUCAGGGGUGAAAGACGGUAGCUUAACUAUCGCAGUGCCUUUGAUACUGAUGGGCUUGAAUACACUUGAGGUAGGCGGAAUGUGACAAGUAGCGGUGAAAUGCAUAGAUAUGUCACAGAACACCAAUUGCGAAGGCAGCUUACUAAAGUGUUAUUGACACUGAGGCACGAAAGCGUGGGGAUCAAACAGGAUUAGAUAGCCCUGGUAGUCCACGCCCUAAACGAUGAAUACUCGAUGUUGGCGAUAUACGGUCAGCGUCUAAGCG